AUUGAACGCUGGCGGCAGGCCUAACACAUGCAAGUCGAGCGGAUGAAGGGAGCUUGCUCCUGGAUUUAGCGGCGGACGGGUGAGUAAUGCCUAGGAAUCUGCCUGGUAGUGGGGGAUAACGUCCGGAAACGGGCGCUAAUACUGCAUACGUCCUGAGGCAGAUAGUGGGGGAUCUUCGGACCUCACCCUAUCAGAUGAGCCUAGGUCGGAUUAGCUAGUUGGUGGGGUAAAGGCCUACCUAGGCGACGAUCCGUAACUGGUCUGAGAGGAAGAUUCGUCACACUGGAACGGAGACACGGUCCAGACUCCUACGGGAGGGAGCAGUGGGGAAUAUUGGACAAUGGGCGAAAACCUGAUCCAGCCAUGGCGCGUGUGUGAAGAAGGUCUUCCGAUUGUAAAGCACUUUAAGUUGGGAGGAAGCGCAGUAAGUUAAUACCUUGCUGUUUUGACGUUACCAACAGAAUAAGCACCGGCUAACUUCGUG
rnacentral:rRNA from 1 species